AAGUCAGAUGUGAAAGCCCGGGGCUCAACCUCGGAAUUGCAUUUGAAACUGGCAAACUAGAGUACUGUAGAGGGGGUAGAAUUUCAGGUGUAGCGGUGAAAAUGCGUAGAGAUCUGAAGGAAUACCGGUGGCGAAGGCGGCCCCCCUGGACAGAUACUGACACUCAGAUGCGAAAGCGUGGGGAGCAAACAGGAUUAGAUACCCUGGUAG
rnacentral:rRNA from 1 species